rnacentral:rRNA from 1 species
AACGUAGGUGGCAAGCGUUAUCCGGAAUUACUGGGCGUAAAGGGUGUGCAGGCGGGGUUGCAAGUGGUGUAUGAAAUAUCCCAGCUUAACUGGGAGGGGUUAUGCCAGACUGCAACUCUAGAGGACGAGAGAGGGGGGUGGAAUCCGGGUGUAGUGGUGAAAUGCGUAGAGAUCCGGAGGAACCCCAGAGGCGAAGGCGGCCCCCUGGCUCGUACCUGACGCUCAGCCACGAAAGCAUGGGGAGCGAACGGG